UAUAGAGAUAUAGUGUGCAUUAGCGCCCUAUACAGGUGGUGCAUGGCUGUCGUCAGCUCGCGUCGUGAGAUGUUGGGUUAAGUCCCGCUACGAGCGCAACCCCUGUCCUAUGUUGCCAGCAUUUAGUUGGGGACUCAUAGGAGACUGCCGGUGAUAAACCGGAGGAAGGUGGGGACGACGUCAAGUCAUCAUGCCCCUUAUGUCCAGGGCUGCACGCAUGCUACAAUGGCAAGUACAACGAGUCGCAAUACCGCGAGGUGGAGCAAAUCUCUUAAAGCUUGUCUCAGUUCGGAUAGGAGUCUGCAACUCGACUCCUUGAAGUUGGAGUCGCUAGUAAUCGCAAAUCAGCAAAGUUGCGGUGAAUACGUUCUCGGGGUUUGUACACACCGCCCGUCAAGUCACGGAAGUCGGCAAUACCCGAAGCCAGUGGUCCAACCCUUUUAGGGAGGAAGCUGUCGAAGGUAGGGUCGGUAACUGGGACUAAGUCGUAACAAGGUAGCCU
rnacentral:rRNA from 1 species